CCAUAAUUAAUCCAAUUAAACCCUCAUCCUCGCUUGCUUUCUCUCUCAAAGUUCAAUCCAUAAAUUCACCGGACUCUCCAUCAAUUUCACAGUUUCAUUCGCAUUUCAAGCUUCGAUUUCUUCAGGUGUACCGGGUCCGUUGUCACUGUUCUUGAAUGUCGUAGUCGCCAAGUGCUUUGUUCAAUCUGCACUGAAUUGCUGCUCUUCUGAGCUUACAGAGAGAGAAAGCAUCAAAGCAGUAAUGUCACCAGCUAUGGCGGUGUCCUACACCUCACCCUUCCUCCACCCCCUUUUUUAUAAACAACAUAUGUUUUGGAGCCAUCUGUUAAGGAAUUCAUUGUAUAGCAAGGGUAUUUCACAUCAUUCAAGUGGGCGCCAACCUUUCUUCCAACCAAAUGCUUUAAAUGGAAAAGGCAGCUUUACAACUUAUAAAACAGGCUUUGUGGUUCAGAAUACGAGGCGAAGUUUCUCAUGCUCUAUAAGCAUGUCAGAUGGACAGUCCUCCGGAAAUCAUGGGAAAUUAAACUUGGACCAGAUAAUGGACAAGGCUAGGGAAGUUUGGAAUGCCCUUCCGGAACCAAUCAAGAUCUUCCCUUGGAACAGAGUGCGAGAUAACUUCAUCCAACGCACUCUUGAUGUUGCAAUUGCUGUCAUCAAAUACCUAAGCGCUCCUUUGCUGUUUGUUUCCUCCCUCAGUGAGAUGUCCUACUGUGCUCAUGAAAGGAAACUAUUUCUUGUUCCUGUUCCAUUGAUUCUUGGGUUUUCAGUUGCUGGGAUCUUGAAAGAGACAGUGCAAGAACUAUCUCCUCUUACCAAGGAUGCUGACGUUCCUUGGCAUAUAAUUGGGAUUGCUACUUUCCUCAUUCUUCUUAAGCUGCCUGGUCCAUACUACCCAUAUUGGGGCCGCCUGUUUAUUCCUCAUUUUGCUAAUGGAGGGCUUUUAAGGGUUUUCGUUAUGAUGUAUUUCUGGUAUCAGAGGCCUAGCAAGAGUCGAUCAUUGCAAAAUGUGGAGAGCCCUGAGCAAAAUUGAAUUUAUUAAAUGAUAGCACCAUGGGAGGAGGCGCCUGGUCUGCGUGGAGAUGCAGCAGGGGGUGGGGGACUGGGGGGAGGAGCUGACAUUGAGACAGAGGCGAGGGGUGGUGUUAUUUUUUAAAAGGGCAUGUACUCGUAUAUGGCAUCAACCUAGACUUCAACAAUGUCAAAACUGUCAUCAUCUCAUCAUUAUCCAGCUUUUAAAGUGGAAAACCUUGUGACAGAACAAACUUCUGUAGAACUGUCGGGACUUUGAACGAACUGCAAUGCAAUUGCCAGACUGUUAUGAAGUCAUGAACAUACUGCUUUAAAAUAUAGCGUGACAGACAGUUGAUCCUUCCUCCAACUCUCAUCCAGGCUUCCUUUGUUAGCUUCUGUUUUUGUGUUUACUUAAGAUUAGUGGUUUGCUUUUUUGUUCAUGAAAUACAAGAAUAUGAUAUGUUAGGCAUCCAAGGUUACAACUUACAAGUGUUGCUACAGCUGAGCCCUUCGGGGGAAUUUUUUCUUGAAAUUCAGUUCAAUUCUUCUUUUUA